rnacentral:rRNA from 1 species
GACGUAGGGCGCGAGCGUUGUCCGGAUUAUUGGGCGUAAAGAGCUCGUAGGCGGCUUGUCGCGUCGGCUGUGAAAACCCGCGGCUCAACUGUGGGCGGGCAGCUGAUACGGGCAGACUAGAGUGUGGUAGGGGAGACUGGAAUUCCUGGUGUAGCGGUGAAAUGCGCAGAUAUCGGGAGGAACACCAGUGGCGAAGGCGGCACUCUGGGCCGGUACUGACGCUGAAUAGCGAAAGCCAGGGGAGCAAAGCGGG